rnacentral:lncRNA from 1 species
GUAAACUUGAUUUUACUCAUAUAUUUUAUUUAACCCAAUAUAUUGAAAUAUUAUCAUUUAACAUUAAUAUUAUGUUACUAGUAAAAUAGUAAUGAGAUAUUUUACAUUUUCUUGUACUAAAUCUUCAAAAUUCAUCGUGUAUUUUACACUCAGGUCAUUUCAAUGUGUACUGGCUACAAUGUGAGCACUCAAUAGCUGCAGGGUGGUAGUGGUUACAAAGCUAAUAAGAAGAGGAACUGGAAUUGGGACCCCCAAGGGGGAACUGGGACCCUGUUCCGACCUCCAAGUCAGUUCUGUCCCUGCUGCUAUGCAAGAACUAUUUUUGUUCCAACACAAGUAAAUGACUUCUCUGAAGAUAUCCUUAAAGCUUACCCAGGCCAGCCCCCCACCCAAGGUGGAGGGGCCUAUUGAUGUGGCCUGGAGUUCACGGGAACAUCAUAGCACAAGAUAAACUCGCUCAAAGAAGACAUCAGGGCCAAGAUGACAGACUUCAGGGCUACUCGCUCUGUUGCCCAGGAUGGAGUUCAGUGGCUCAAUCACGACUCACUGCAGCCUCAACCUCCCUGGGCUCAGGGGAUUCUCUUGCCUCAGCCUCCCAAGUAGCUGGGACUACAGGCAUAUAGCAUCACACCUAGCUAACUUUUGUAUUUUUUUGCAGAGAAGGGGUUUCGCAAACUCCAACUCAAUUAGAUGAAUUCUGGCUCCAUAAGAAGCAUGUGUUUCCCACUGGGGCCUCCCCUCCGACCUUCCAGAACUUGGCACUCAAACUAGGUAUAUCUUAUCCCUUCCCCAAGUCCCUGUCUAGCUGCUCUAUCCACGUACAAACUCAGAGGCUAUUUUCUACCAUGCAGACUGGGAUUCAGAGGAAGAACCUGACACAGGCAGGGGAAGCAGAGGAAGCAAUGGGGAGAAAGAACUUGCAGGGUUCCUGCAAUGUCCCCAUCCCUGAUUCAAAUUCCCUGUUCGUGGGCUCUGUGAGACAUCCCUCCAACCAUAGAACAAGUUCUUUCUGCCACUUGAGGUCAUCUCAGUGAGUUUUGGAUGAUUGCAGCCAAUUGACCCUAACAGCUGGGCCUCACUCAGAGGCCCAGGAGUGGGCUCCAGUUGAGCAGAAGCCUGCGGCCUUAUUUCUGCUUCCUCUUCUAGAUGGCAGUAGGGCCACCCCAGUUUGUCCCCACAUCCCAUCAGCAUUUCUGAGGAUUUUGUUCAGUCGUAUUACAAGUUUACUGGGGUCCUGCCAUGGAGGACCUAAGGCCUCUGUGGGCCUCUGUCCUGUCUACUCCACAUUCAGAGCCCUGGCUCUCUUCCUGUGAGUCCCAAGCUGCCCAUCAAGUCUUCUCUGAUCCCCAGUUGGAACACAUGCUCCUUCUGCAUUCCCACCCCUGUUACUGCAUCCCAGGCUUCACCGUUAAGCUCCUACUUCCUUCUGUCCUCGCUUUCAUUGGAAAGCUGAUUGGAUAGCCAGCUUCCUCACUUAGUUGUGGGUAAGGACAAUAUUAAUCACCUUUUAUUUUCUCAGGUUUCUCCCCACACAUCUCCUUCCCUGUGCCUACGAAGUAGUAGGUGCUCAAAUGUGUUGACUGAAGGAAGGACAAGAUGAAAGGAGAAAAGGAGUGAAGGAGGAAGCAAAGAAAGGACGCUUCAGCCACUUAGUUAAAGUAUAAGAUAACAUCUAGUGUAAUUCAAUUCUAGACCAGACUGCCUGCAGGAGAACCUCACCAAGAGGAGCCAGCCAGCAAGGGAAUUGCAGCCUGCAUGGUGCAGACAAAACAGCCCCGGAAUGGCAUCUUUUUCAGGGAAAUCAAAAGGUCUUAAGCAGCGAGCUCCCAUCAUUCAGAUCCUGAAUGCUCUAAGGGGAUCAUACAACUGCAAUUCACUUCUGCAUAUGCAUCUAUUACGGUGUUCACAUCUGAGUGCAGCACAGAAACAGUCUUUUUUUGUUGUGUUUUUGUUUGUUUGUUUUGAGAUGGGGUCUCACUCUGUCGCCCAGGCAGGAGUGCAGUGGCUCAAUCACGGCUCACUGCAGCCUCAACCACCUCAGGCUCAGAUGAUCCUUCUGCCUCAGACUCCCAAGUAGCUGGGACUACAGGCACACAUCACCACACCUGACUAAUUUUUGUAUGCUUUGAAGAGAUGGGGUUUCACCAUGUUGCCCAGGCUGGUCUCAAACUCCUGAGCUCAAGCGAUCUGCCUCCCUUGGCCUCCCAAAGUGCUGGGGUUACAGGUGUGAGCCGCCACACCUGGCCCAGAAACAGUCUUUAAGAGGGAUGUGGAUAUUCAAGAAUUGAAAUUUAGAGACUCAGAAAAUGGACCUAAUGACAAACAAAUGUUUUUUGAGAGCCUAACUGUUUCCAGAUGCUCCACUGGACACUGGGAAUCCAAUGGUCAGCAAAAUAAGCACGGACCAUACACAUGUGGAGUUUGUAGAUUAUUGAGUCAACAGCACACAUCAGAAAUUGACUCAAAAAAAUUAAAAUCUAAAGGCAAAUAAAUGUUAAGCAAUUAUUUUGAGAGGCAAAAUUGAGAUAAUAGAAUAAGGUUUGGAUUCAGACCAGAAUUGGGUUCAAAUGCUGAUUUUGCAACAUUUAAUGAAAAGAAGACAAAAUUAUACACACACAUGGUUUUAAAAGUCCAGUGGUUCUACAAGUUUAUAAUGAAAAUUAGCACCCUCUUGCCCCUUGAUCCCCAUUGCGUAGUCACAGCCACUUUUAACUCUUUAAGCUAUUUCUUCUGGUAUUUAUCAUCAUAUAUUUCAAUUACACACUUAUAUGGCCAUAUCUGGAUUUUGUUUAAAUUUUAGAUCCCAUCUAGUGACUCUCCAUGUGGAAACUGAGGUUUUGGUCUCUUAAAUCUUCCUCCCACAUGCCCCCUCAUUCUUCAAAUACAGCUAUAUCGUAAUUUUGUUUAAAUCAAUAAUCACGGCUUAUGCUCUAUGACCGCGUGAUCAUCAGUCACAGGCCAUGAAGUGCAUUUUAUAGUAAUAUUUUCUUUCGUAUACAACUUUUUGUUUUUCCUGAAGCUAACAACUAUCACCUUUUCUCCACUUAUUUAGCUUUUUAUGUAUUAAUACUUAUCACUAAGUCAUCACUAGCUUUCCUUCAAAAGUGACAGUGUGUCACAUGACCAAACUCAUCCGGUCAUAUGUCAACAGCAUUUUUUUUCUGGAGACAGCCUCCACCUCCACUUCCCGGAAGAGCUCUCUAAACUCCUGCUCCAGCCUGGACUGGUGGGGCUCCAGGCAGCCCCAUGGUGCCAUCCUGGGGCUUCGCUUGCCAUCAUCCAGGGUGUCCUCUGGGCAUUAUCUCCUGGGAUGCGUUACCUGCUUCCUUUAUCUCAUGCUGUCCUUUUUUUUGGAUAAUUCCCUCAUUUUGGAGGAAUAUACCCAAGGGUAAAUAGGAAUUAAGGAUUUCAAGACAUUGUAUUUCUGAAACUGUCUUGAUUGAUAGUUUGGACAUGUACAGGAUUCUAGGGAUAGAGAAGUAAUUCUCUCUUAGAAUUUGGAAGGCAUUGCUGCACGGGUUUUGGCAUCUAAUGUUGCUUUUCUUGAGAAGUCUGAUGCCAUCCUGAUUCCUGAUCUUGCCUUGCCUCCCCCUACAGAUUUUAGGGCCUUAUCUUUGUCUCUGAUGGUCUGAAGCUUCAUAAUUACAGUAGUGCCCCCUUAUCCACAGUUUCCACAGUUUCUGUUACCUGUGGUCAACCACGGCUCAAAAAUAUUAAGUGAAAAAUUCCAGAAAUAAACAACUCAUAAUUUUUAAAUUGCAUGCCAUUCUCAGUAGCGUGAUGAAAUCUCAAGCUGUCCUACUUCAUCCAGCCCAGGAUAUGAAUCAUGCCUUUGUCCAGCUCUAUAUGCUACCUGCUCGUUAGUCACCUAGUAGCCAUCUCCAUUAUCAAUUUAACUAUUGCAACAUCUCAGUGCUAGUGUUCAGGGAACCCUUAUUUUACUUAGCAAUGGUCCCAAAGCACAAGAGUAGUGAUCCUGGCAUAUUGUUAUAAUUGUUCCAUUUUAUUAUUGUUGUUGAUCUCUUACUGUGUCUGAUUUAUAAAUUAAACUUUAUCACAGGUUUGUAUGUAUAGGAAAGAAAAUGUUGUAUAUAUAGGGUUUGGUACUCUCUUGGUUCAUUUUGUGUUGCCAUAAUGUAAUACCUCAGGUUGGUUAAUUUAUGAAUAAAAUAAGCCUGUUUGGCUCACGGUUCUGUAGGCUGUACAAGCAUGGCACCAGCAUCUGCUUCUGCUGAGGGCCUCAGGCUGCUUCCACUCAUGACAGAAGGUGAAGGGGAGCCAGCAUGUGCAGAGAUCACACAGCGAAAGAGGAAUCAAGAGAGAGGAGGGGAGGUGCCAGGCUGUUUUUCACAACCAGUUCAAUUAGGAACUAAUAGUGUAAGAACUCACUCACCCCCAAGAAAGGGCAUUAAUCUGUACAUGGGUAAUCUGUCCCCAUGACCCAAACAUCUCCCAUAGGCUCCACCUCCAGCAUUGGGGAUCAAAUUUCAACAUGAGGUUUGGCAUGGUCAAACCUCCAAACUACAGCAGGUACUAUCCGAGGUUUCAGGCCACCACUGGGGGUCUUGGGACACAUUUCCCAGGGAUAAGUGGGGGCUGGGCACAUGCAUUGUUGUGGGUGUUUUUCAUGCAUUGUGCUUGGCACUCUGUGGACCUUUUACAUAUCUAUAGAUUCACGUCUUUCAGAAAUGGAGAAAUUUCUUGAAUUGCGUCCUUCUCCCUUCCAUAUUCUCUGUUCCUAGUCUAUGGAACUCCUUGGACUGAUCCUCUAAUUUUAUUAUGUUUUCUCUCCUGUUUUUCACCUCAUUUAUGUUAUUACUCAACUUUCUGGAUAAUUACUUCAAUUAACCUCAUUUUCUAACCAUUAAAUUUAGUUUUUCUUUCUGCUCUCAACUUUGAAGUUCCAAGGAUCAUUUUGGUUCUCUGCUAUGCUAACCUCUUGUGCUUGUCUAUGUAAUCUCUGAAGAUGAAUCAAUCACAGGACUUUGUUGUUGUUGCUAUGGUACAGGUUUCUUGCUGCUGCCCAGAUUGCUUGUUUCAUCCCUAGUUCCUUGUUUUGUUUUGUUUGUUUUUGUUUUUGUUUUUGUCUAUGUCUUUGAUAUUAAGGACUUCUCUCAAAUGCCUGAUGACCCUUGACUGUUCGCUCAUAUUUCAGAGUGAGGCACCCAAUAGUUGAUGGGGUGACAUUCAUCAACUAUAGAAUUCACCAGAGGGUAAACCACUGAGCAGUUUCACCAAGGUACUCCCAACCCUCAACAUCUUUUAAAUUCUAUGCCUG